rnacentral:misc_RNA from 1 species
CAACACAAAUUACACGAGCGACUGCGACUGCUAUUAUCACUGCUACUGCUGCUCCAGCAUCAAAACCUCACCCUUGCCGGGUUUCAACAACGAACACCCUAACAAGCCAAGAAGCAAGCGCCGCUGCGACGCACUGGAGGUGUACGCUCCCACCUGCUGCGCUUUCCAUUCAUUCCCCGACGCAGCCAUGAUCAGCUGCAUGACGCUCAGCACAAGUCUCGUGAAAGGCGCGGUCAUGUGAGUGUGUGUGUGUGUACGUCUGGGCCUGCGUGAAGGAUAUCAUCAGUUGACCUUGGCGCGACCCCCGUGGCAGCACAAGCGCCGUUACACACACCAGUCAUCCUGCCAGUGCCCAGGUGUGAACACCUCAGCAGCAACACAAACACGCACACACACGCACACGCCAGCGCAUCAUGAGAAAACCUACACUAUUACUUGAGCCCUUACAUCGCAGCACGAACCACCGCUUUUUCUGUCGGCAGCCGACCACCUUUCGACUACCACGCCACCCUUCGCGAUGCCGCCUACCCUCUCCGCCGCCCCGUCUCCUCCUGGCCAACCGCUUCUCAUGCUGCCUCUUGCCCUCCACGCCUGGCUACCUCUCCUUCAUCACCUCCGCACUUCACGAAAUCGGCAAACGUGUCGACAUCACGCAUUGCAUCUCCGCUCUGUCGUCGUGUAG